AUGGGAAACCCUGUUGAUGCACCUAAACCCUAUCAAUGGAUAUGGAAAUCACGCUCUUUACCAAAGCAGAAAUUCUUCUUCUGGCUCUUGUUACAAGACAGAUUAAACACUAGAGAUCUACUAAAAAGGAAGAAUUUCUACAUUGAGACUAGUAAGUGUGAAUUAUGUGAUGAUGAACCUAAUGAACAUUUAAUGCAUCUGUUUUUUAGCUGUGAUUUCAGUCAAAACUUCUGGAUGAACAUUGGCUACCAAUGUUACACUGAUCAUAACCUCAUAGAAAUGCUCCUGGAGGGAAGGAAGCAAGAUACACAUGGAUGCUUUAAAGAAUGUCUGAUUGCUGGAUGCUGGAGUCUAUGGAAACACAGAAAUAGCAUAAUUUUUGACAACAAGGUCAAAAAUAUGACAUUCUGUAUUGCCACUUUCAAGGAGCACUUUUGCAUGAUUAUAAAGAAGGCAAAACCAGGAUUGAAAGAGGGCAUGCAAAGCUGGCUAGAUCAUUUGUAG
rnacentral:rRNA from 1 species